UUUGACUUAUAUAAAUUUUAUAUAACAAAGACUUAAAACUUAAAACACAUGUGCUUUACCUCCUUUAUCCCCACCCAGCUUCAACCAAAUUUGAUCUGAGGGAAUCAAGUUGUCAUGCCAUGUCAAYCUAUGAAAACKGCAAARCAACAUGCUGUGUAUUAUUUCAUUUUUGUAGAUGCGUUACUAGCACWAUUUAUUGAURUUACUUGUGAUUCUUUUCAAGGUGACCAUGAACCAUCGCUCUCAAGUUAGUUACUUGAGCACAAGGCGCCAGACGAAUUUCAUUCGCUUGACUAGCCUUGGAAAAAACAAAGGGCAUAGCCUCACAGUGCACCUAGAAUGCCAAGUUCAGACUUCAUGGCUAAGCCAUCUCCAGGAAGAAUAUCAAUACUUAGACCAGCCUGUUAAAUAGGAUGGAUAUUUAUUUAUAUUAUUCAUAUGGCAGACCAACAUUUAUUGUUAUUUCUGGUUAUGUUUUUUUAACUGUGAUAUCAAUAGAAAGACAAAGAAAAUGUUUUUGACAAUAAAUUUGUAUAACAGUAGCAACUUUCAACUUAUAA